UUAAGUUAGAAAGGGCGCACGGUGGAUGCCUUGACACUAGGAGUCGAUGAAGGACGGGACUAACGCCGAUAUGCUUCGGGGAGCUGUAAGUAAGCUUUGAUCCGAAGAUUUCCGAAUGGGGAAACCCACCAUACGUAAUGGUAUGGUAUCCUUAUCUGAAUACAUAGGAUAAGGAAGACAGACCCAGGGAACUGAAACAUCUAAGUACCUGGAGGAAGAGAAAGCAAAUGCGAUUUCCUGAGUAGCGGCGAGCGAAACGGAACAUAGCCCAAACCAAGAGGCUUGCCUCUUGGGGUUGUAGGACAUUCUAUACGGAGUUACAAAGGAACGAGGUAGACGAAGCGACCUGGAAAGGUCCGUCGUAGAGGGUAACAACCCCGUAGUCGAAACUUCGUUCUCUCUUGAAUGUAUCCUGAGUACGGCGGAACACGUGAAAUUCCGUCGGAAUCUGGGAGGACCAUCUCCCAAGGCUAAAUACUCCCUAGUGAUCGAUAGUGAACCAGUACCGUGAGGGAAAGGUGAAAAGCACCCCGGAAGGGGAGUGAAAGAGAUCCUGAAACCGUGUGCCUACAAAUAGUCAGAGCCCGUUAAUGGGUGAUGGCGUGCCUUUUGUAGAAUGAACCGGCGAGUUACGAUCCCGUGCGAGGUUAAGCUGAAGAGGCGGAGCCGCAGCGAAAGCGAGUCUGAAUAGGGCGUUUAGUACGUGGUCGUAGACCCGAAACCAGGUGAUCUACCCAUGUCCAGGGUGAAGUUCAGGUAACACUGAAUGGAGGCCCGAACCCACGCACGUUGAAAAGUGCGGGGAUGAGGUGUGGGUAGCGGAGAAAUUCCAAUCGAACCUGGAGAUAGCUGGUUCUCCCCGAAAUAGCUUUAGGGCUAGCCUUAAGUGUAAGAGUCUUGGAGGUAGAGCACUGAUUGGACUAGGGGUCCUCAUCGGAUUACCGAAUUCAGUCAAACUCCGAAUGCCAAUGACUUAUCCUUAGGAGUCAGACUGCGAGUGAUAAGAUCCGUAGUCAAAAGGGAAACAGCCCAGACCGCCAGCUAAGGUCCCAAAGUGUGUAUUAAGUGGAAAAGGAUGUGGAGUUGCUUAGACAACUAGGAUGUUGGCUUAGAAGCAGCCACCAUUUAAAGAGUGCGUAAUAGCUCACUAGUCGAGUGACUCUGCGCCGAAAAUGUACCGGGGCUAAAUACACCACCGAAGCUGCGGAUUGAUACCAAUGGUAUCAGUGGUAGGGGAGCGUUCUAAGGACAGUGAAGUCAGACCGGAAGGACUGGUGGAGUGCUUAGAAGUGAGAAUGCCGGUAUGAGUAGCGAAAGACGGGUGAGAAUCCCGUCCACCGAAUGCCUAAGGUUUCCUGAGGAAGGCUCGUCCGCUCAGGGUUAGUCAGGACCUAAGCCGAGGCCGACAGGCGUAGGCGAUGGACAACAGGUUGAUAUUCCUGUACCACCUCUUUAUCGUUUGAGCAAUGGAGGGACGCAGAAGGAUAGAAGAAGCGUGCGAUUGGUUGUGCACGUCCAAGCAGUUAGGCUGAUAAGUAGGCAAAUCCGCUUAUCGCAAAGGCUGAGCUGUGAUGGGGAAGCUCCUUAUGGAGCGAAGUCUUUGAUUCCCCGCUGCCAAGAAAAGCUUCUAGCGAGAUAAAAGGUGCCUGUACCGCAAACCGACACAGGUAGGCGAGGAGAGAAUCCUAAGGUGUGCGAGAGAACUCUGGUUAAGGAACUCGGCAAAAUGACCCCGUAACUUCGGGAGAAGGGGUGCUUUCUUAACGGAAAGCCGCAGUGAAUAGGCCCAAGCGACUGUUUAGCAAAAACACAGCUCUCUGCGAAGCCGUAAGGCGAAGUAUAGGGGGUGACACCUGCCCGGUGCUGGAAGGUUAAGGAGAGGGGUUAGCGUAAGCGAAGCUCUGAACUGAAGCCCCAGUAAACGGCGGCCGUAACUAUAACGGUCCUAAGGUAGCGAAAUUCCUUGUCGGGUAAGUUCCGACCCGCACGAAAGGUGUAACGAUUUGGGCACUGUCUCAACCAGAGACUCGGUGAAAUUAUAGUACCUGUGAAGAUGCAGGUUACCCGCGACAGGACGGAAAGACCCCGUGGAGCUUUACUGUAGCCUGAUAUUGAAUUUUGGUACAGUUUGUACAGGAUAGGCGGGAGCCAUUGAAACCGGAGCGCUAGCUUCGGUGGAGGCGCUGGUGGGAUACCGCCCUGACUGUAUUGAAAUUCUAACCUACGGGUCUUAUCGACCCGGGAGACAGUGUCAGGUGGGCAGUUUGACUGGGGCGGUCGCCUCCUAAAGUGUAACGGAGGCGCCCAAAGGUUCCCUCAGAAUGGUUGGAAAUCAUUCGUAGAGUGCAAAGGCAUAAGGGAGCUUGACUGCGAGACCUACAAGUCGAGCAGGGACGAAAGUCGGGCUUAGUGAUCCGGUGGUUCCGCAUGGAAGGGCCAUCGCUCAACGGAUAAAAGCUACCCCGGGGAUAACAGGCUUAUCUCCCCCAAGAGUCCACAUCGACGGGGAGGUUUGGCACCUCGAUGUCGGCUCAUCGCAUCCUGGGGCUGUAGUCGGUCCCAAGGGUUGGGCUGUUCGCCCAUUAAAGCGGUACGCGAGCUGGGUUCAGAACGUCGUGAGACAGUUCGGUCCCUAUCCGUCGUGGGCGUAGGAAAUUUGAGAGGAGCUGUCCUUAGUACGAGAGGACCGGGAUGGACGCACCGCUGGUGUACCAGUUGUUCUGCCAAGGGCAUAGCUGGGUAGCUAUGUGCGGAAGGGAUAAGUGCUGAAAGCAUCUAAGCAUGAAGCCCCCCUCAAGAUGAGAUUUCCCAUAGCGUAAGCUAGUAAGAUCCCUGAAAGAUGAUCAGGUUGAUAGGUUCGAGGUGGAAGCAUGGUGACAUGUGGAGCUGACGAAUACUAAUAGAUCGAGGACUUAACCAU
rnacentral:rRNA from 1 species